rnacentral:lncRNA from 1 species
GUUGGAUGUAAUUCUCAUCUCUGUUUCUCUAACGUCCAAGAUUUUUCCUCCAUGUUUACUGUGGGAACAUGGCCGAGCUCCGGGAAGUAAAUCUCACAAUAUUGUGGGGCUCCCCUAUGACUGGAUCCUCCUGGAGUUUUUAACUCUCAGACUUGCCUGACUUGAGCCUCCAGCAAUUCAUCCGUUACGGUUCAGGGUCUCCUACUCCGGCUCUGGCUUCCGAGGUGAUUUCUGCUGGUAAAUGAUGAAAAGAUUCUGGAAACUACAGACUUGUAAAUUUGAUGUGAAUUCCGGACAAUAGCCAAGAAUAAAUGCCCAGAAAAAGUUGAACAGAGUGCUGAAGAAUCACAUGCAGAAGGCUUGGAAAGAAGCUUGAAAACUUAGGUUGAAGGAGAAAAGUUGUCCAGUAGGAUACAGAGUAAGGGCUUUCCUCAGGAGGUCACGUGGAAGAGGAAUUAGAUUGCGACAUGGUUCGAGAGGGCAGACCAUGGACCAAAUUGUCGGGAAGAAAAGGAGUGAUAGAUGUUCCAGUAAUUUGAGCUAUUUGGAAAUGUAAUGGGCUGUAAAAGUAAUGAGGACUCAGUCACUUGGAGUUUAAGCAAAAGUUGGGUAACUACCUCUUAUGUUUUAAAACAAUAACAAAAACAACCUCCCCCGACUACAAAACUUCCUGUAUUGUGUCAGAUCAGAGAGAUGACUUUUAAAGUGGUUCUUAUUUGAACGCAUGUCAGUUUCUUCUCUCUCUGUAAAAGACUCCUGUUAUCCCAUUUUUUAACCAAGUAUAAUUGUUCUCAGAAUUUUAUUUACAGUAAUUUAGCUUUGAUGGCGAGAUUUUAAAUUUAUUAAGUCUAGAUUACGACUUAGCAGGUAAAGGAGAAAUAAUUGGAUUUUUAUAUCUUUCCAAAU